UAUUUUCAUUGCUCAAGUACAACGAAAAAUCAUAAUGCUAAUGUCAACAUGAAACUAUAAUAACUGGCUUAAGUUAUCCCAUAAUAUGUGGUUAUGGAUAUGCGCUUUGAAAACGUUUACCUUUGGUGAAAUUAUUUCUCUGAUAGUUGUUUCCAGGUUGCAUUCAAAAACAUGUGCCUUCGUUAGCUUCUUUUCCCAGUGGGCUGCUAGCCAGAUUUUGGCUAGUGAUCCGCGCUUAGAAGUGAAGAGUUGUGUGUAGAACAACAUGUUGUCGCCACAGAUCAUCUGAAUCCAUCUCACCCUAACCUAACAUCCUUCUCUCUCAGGCUGUCUGCCAGUUGCUCCUACUCUACUCAACGUCAUACUCCAUGGAGAUCCCAUAUGUUAAGUACCUAAAGUACUCUUAUGCCCCAAUCACCACUACAAUAAAGUUACCAGGACAUACAUAUAUGCAAGUACUUCAUAAAACUGCCCACCCAAUUCUCAACCUUUCCACCAUUCCCAGUUGAGAGUACUAUUUAAUAUACAAUAUAAUGUUUGAUAAUGUAUAAUAACAGCAUGGAAACAACUCUUAAUUUGUCAUAUGUAAGUACUUUCCUCAAGG